CUGCGGUGCAUUAGCUAGUUGGUAAGGUAACGGCUUACCAAGGCAAUGAUGCAUAGCCGAGUUGAGAGACUGAUCGGCCACAUUGGGACUGAGACACGGCCCAAACUCCUACGGGAGGCAGCAGUAGGGAAUCUUCCACAAUGGACGAAAGUCUGAUGGAGCAACGCCGCGUGAGUGAAGAAGGGUUUCGGCUCGUAAAGCUCUGUUGGUAGUGAAGAAAGAUAGAGGUAGUAACUGGCCUUUAUUUGACGGUAAUUACUUAGAAAGUCACGGCUAACUACGUGCCGGCAGCCGCGGUAAUACGUAGGUGGCAAGCGUUGUCCGGAUUUAUUGGGCGUAAAGCGAGUGCAGGCGGUUCAAUAAGUCUGAUGUGAAAGCCUUCGGCUCAACCGGAGAAUUGCAUCAGAAACUGUUGAACUUGAGUGCAGAAGAGGAGAGUGGAACUCCAUGUGUAGCGGUGGAAUGCGUAGAUAUCGGGAGGAACACCAGUGGCGAAGGCGGCCUACUGGGCACCAACUGACGCUGAGGCUCGAAAGUGUGGGUAGCAAACAGGAUUAGAUACCCUGGUAGUCCACACCGUAAACGAUGAUUACUAGGUGUUGGAGGAUAGACCCCUUCAGUGCCGCAGU
rnacentral:rRNA from 1 species